ACCUGUGCAGAAAACACGUGGAUCUUGGAGAAUGAUAGAUGUCAUAAACAUAACCACACAGGAAACUCUAAUUGCAGCUGCUCUUCCAGAUAAUAGUUUCAUUGCUUGAGCAAAUUAGCUACCAUCCAUGCACUUACAAAAUGCUUUAUCUACUGAUGUGGAAUUCUACACAGCAUUGACUCUGACAAAGAAACUCACUUAACUGCAAAUAAACUGCAGCAUGAGUGCAUAAUUAUGGAAUUUGUCGUCUUACCAUGUUCCCCACCAUCCUAAAGUGGCUGACUUAAUGAAACAGUGAAGCAUUUUUUUUUUUACUUUUUUUCAUUUUAUUUACUUAUUUAUUUUUUUAUUAUACUUUAAGUUUUAGGUACAUGUGCACAACGUGCAGGUUUGUUGCAUAUGUAUACAUGU
rnacentral:lncRNA from 10 species